rnacentral:rRNA from 1 species
GACGAACGCUGGCGGCGUGCUUAACACAUGCAAGUCGAACGGAAAGGCCCUGCUUUUGUGGGGUGCUCGAGUGGCGAACGGGUGAGUAACACGUGAGUAACCUGCCCUUGACUUUGGGAUAACUUCAGGAAACUGGGGCUAAUACCGGAUAGGAGCUCCUGCUGCAUGGUGGGGGUCGGAAAGUUUCGGCGGUUGGGGAUGGACUCGCGGCUUAUCAGCUUGUUGGUGGGGUAGUGGCUUACCAAGGCUUUGACGGGUAGCCGGCCUGAGAGGGUGACCGGCCACAUUAGGACUGAGAUACGGCGCAGAGUCCUACGGGAGGCAGCAGUGGGGAAUAUUGCACAAUGGGCGGAAGCCUGAUGAGGCAGCGCCGCGUGCGGGAUGACGGCCUUCGGGUUGUAAACCGCUUUCGCCUGUGACGAAGCGUGAGUGACGGUAAUGAGUGAAGAAGCACCGGCUAACUACGUG